rnacentral:misc_RNA from 1 species
GAUGAAGAACGCAGCGAAAUGCGAUACUUGGUGUGAAUUGCAGAAUCCCGUGAACCAUCGAGUCUUUGAACGCAAGUUGCGCCCGAAGCCACUAGGCCGAGGGUACGCCUGCCUGGGCGUCACACGUCCUUGCCCCCCCCCAUCUACUCCUUCGGGAUUGCGGGGGGCGGAUGAUGGCCUCCCGUGCGCCUAGCCGCGCGGUUGGCAUAAAUACCAAGUCCUCGGCGACGCACGCCACGACAAUCGGUGGUUGCGAAACCUCGGUUGCCCGUCGUGUGCGUUCGUCGCGCAUCGAGGGCUCGAAAAAAUGCUCGGCUCCGGCUCGGCUUUCAACGCGACCCCAGGUCAGGCGGGGUUACCCGCUGAAUUUAAGCAUAUCAAUAAGCGGAGGA